UACGUAGGGAGCGAGCGUUGUCCGGAAUCAUUGGGCGUAAAGCGCGCGUAGGCGGCUCGAUCAGUCUGUUGUGAAAGUCAAAGGCUCAACCUUUGAAUGCCGAUGGAUACUGUCGAGCUAGAGUCCGGAAGAGGAGAAUGGAAUUCCUGGUGUAGCGGUGAAAUGCGCAGAUAUCAGGAAGAACACCCGUGGCGAAGGCGGUUCUCUGGGACGGUACUGACGCUGAGACGCGAAAGCGUGGGGAGCGAACAGG
rnacentral:rRNA from 1 species